UUAAUUUGGAGUAGUUGGGCUCGAUUUUUGUAAUUGCAUGACCCAAAUUGUUAAAUCAUGAGCCCAAUUGAAAUACUACACACUCAAAUACCCUAACACUUAGUCUUCUCCCUCAUUUCACAAAUGCUCAGUAGCCUUCCUUUCUCCAAUUUUCUGCCGCCCCCAGCCUCACCGUCGCUUCCCCGCAGUCGCUACCCUCAGCACCACCGCCCGCCGCCACCUCCUCUCUCUUCUCCCCUCCUCUCUCCUUCUCUCUUUCUCUCAUCCUCACGCCGUCGCGCCGCCACCGCCACUGCGGAUCCGUCGUCGUAGCGGGUCCGCCUCAGCCGCCGUCGUCGAGAACCUCCCCUACCAGCCGCCGACGCCGAUUCCCGUCAGAAAUUUUUAGAUCUUUAAGAAAUGAAAGCAGUGGCUUUCGGAGCGUGGGUUGACAAUUGUCGGCGAUGGAGUGCCGAGCUUGCUGCCGGAAGUCCGGCAGAUUCAUCUCCUAAGAUAAGUAUUCCUAACGGCCCUAUGUUAUUUCUAUAUUCAAUAGUUUGGGAAAAAAAAUUGGUUUUAGCAUGCUACUUGGGUGAAUUUUGGAGUCCCUAAUGUAAUAUGUGGUACAAUGGAUACCUAGCAAGUUUUCCUACUGUAAUUUGAUGUAUAUGCAUAAAGCAAAAAAAAAUGAAAGGAGGCUUGGGGUUACCUUUUGAUGUGGGGACGAGGUGUUGUUGGAUUGGGGACUUGAUUCUACAAGUGUGUGCAAAUCUUCCUCAUUGGACUCCUCUGUCCUAUGUGGAAAUGGAGUAGGCAGAGGAAAUAGUAUGUGGGGUGUGUGAAGGGAUUAUUAGGAUAUAUGAUAGUGAUGUUUUAUGGUGAAAGAAAGUGCAUACUGAUUUAUAAAAGAUGGCAAGUGAUGUAACUUGCAAGUAUUCUUGCAAAGAAUGAUUACCAUAUGUUAGAGGAUGAGGAUUUUUUUCCACCCUUCAUUAAUGCAGCAUUCAUUUUUUUCUACUACUCAUUAAGGCACCAUUAAAUGCUGCCAUGCCAAUGUCCUUUUCGAAUAUGCUAGAAAAGAAAAAAAAAAAAUUAAUUAUUGUUAUUAUUAUUUUUUUAUAAUAAUUAUUUGAGUAUUUGCUUACUUAAUCAUUUAAUUUGGUGUAGGUAUAAUUUGUCCAAGUUCGUGGCCCUCCGCGUUGAAGUAUCCGUUUUCUUAAAACAUACGUUGUAUAAAUUAAAUUUUGUUGGACUUUUGUUGGAUGUAUCAAACAUUAAAAUUUUGAUUAUGGGACUUUAUUUAUUUACUUAAAUUUA